UCAUCAGGCAGGAUAACCCUUACCUGUUUCUCUAUUCAGAGGGCAGAUAGAACAUGAUGAUUGCAGUUGGCAUGAUUCUUGAUUAACGUAUCUGCGUGAUUGGGGUUCACAACACCCUAAUUGCACCUAAUUCUUAA